AUCGAACUUUAUCAAGUUCAACCUUAGAUGCAUUAAUUUUUUUACUAAGAAACUUCUUUUUCAAAAAGAUUAUCUUAUUGCUAACAAAUAUCUUUUAUUCUUCAGCAAGGUAGAAGUAGUAUGCCCUAGAUUUUUUAAUGUACCUUACAAAUAAGCACUUAUCAGAUCAGGGUCCAAGCUUAUCGAUCUGCAAAUAUUUGAUAUAAGUCAAACAACCCC
rnacentral:lncRNA from 1 species